rnacentral:rRNA from 1 species
AACGAACGCUGGCGGCGCGCCUAAUACAUGCAAGUCGAGCGAGAAGACGUAGCAAUACGUUUGUAAAGCGGCGAACGGGUGAGGAAUACAUGGGUAACCUACCCUCGAGUGGGGAAUAACUAGCCGAAAGGUUAGCUAAUACCGCGUACGCUCCUUGGACUUCGGUUCAGGGAGGAAAGCGAUACCGCGGGUAUCGCGCUCUUGGAUGGGCUCAUGUCCUAUCAGCUUGUUGGUGAGGAACGGCUCACCAAGGCUUCGACGGGUAGCUGGUCUGAGAGGACGAUCAGCCACACUGGCACUGCGACACGGGCCAGACUCCUACGGGAGGCAGCAGUAAGGAAUAUUGCGCAAUGGGCGAAAGCCUGACGCAGCGACGCCGCGUGGGGGAUGAAGGUCUUCGGAUUGUAAACCCCUUUCGGGAGGGAAGAUGGAACGAGCAAUCGUUCGGACGGUACCUCCAGAAGCAGCCACGGCUAACUUCGUGCCA